GCUCAUUUCAGCAAAGUAUAUACUGAACAUGGAAUGAUACAGAAAAGAUUAGCACAGCUGCGUGCAAGGAUAACACACAAAAUCACGAGUUAUUCAACAUUUUU